GGUUGCGUAGUGUAGAGGUUAUCACCGUGGAUUCUGAGAUUCCAUUAACCCCGGUUCGAAUCCGGGCGCGACCA
rnacentral:tRNA from 1 species